rnacentral:lncRNA from 12 species
GGCUGUUAACCUCAACUCUGGUGGAAAUGUGAGAGCUGACAACCAGGCCCGGCUCCAGGGGCCCGAACUCCGUUCUCAGCUCAGCGACCGCCGCUGACCUCUACCGGGAGCUUCCAGCUUCUUCCUCAUGGGCAGGUCCUUUGAAACUGUUACCCGAGGUCAUUUCCUGAGGACAGUCAAUGGCAUCUUCAUGUAUCCUGGAAUGGGAAAUUGUGCCUGAAAAUCUGAAUUGAAUAAACAUGGAAAACAGAUCCUCUGUUAUUUUGGACUUUGCGAUUUACCAUCGAGUCAUUAAAAAUGAAUUUACGCAUCAGUCAACAUGCCCAGGGAGACUACUUUUCUGGCAGAGGAAACAACAGCUUCAAAAUGGGGUUGUACGAGCCUUGAGUUCUGGGGGUGAGGGCUGCGCUGCCCGGCACUACCGACCACCGACCACCGCCUGGAGCCGUGAGGAGGCGGUUCAGAAGAUCUCACAGACGCAGGCUUCACUCUCCAGGUCACUAUGUUACAGCCCAGGGGUUCUAAAAGGAUUCAGCAACAUUCUCUGUAGUCCGAAGAGUCCGAGGCAAUGCAGAUGCCUGUGGGUCUGCCCUCCUUGGCCGAAACCAGAUGGGGCCAAAUGCUCCUUUAUUAGCCAGACAGCAGGUACGAGAAUGGGCCACUAUUUCAGACAGUAGACUUUUAUGUGAUUCCACAGAAAUUUUACAGUUCUUUCCGAUAACGCGAGAGAAAAUAACCUCAUCAAUUUCUGUCUUAAGAUUUGCUUGAGAAAUGUGCCCAGUGGGAUGUUUGCGAUGAGUAACAGAUUUCUGUGAAUGUGAUUUUUGUUAGUGUUUAUCUAAAUAGAGAAUUGUAGUCAAAACGCAGCCUUCAUCUUUCUCCCUGAUUUUUUUUUUAAAGGCUAGUUAUAUUUUUGUGGUUUGAAAAUGUCUUUUUUAAAUUCUGAGGACUUAAAAAAAACUUUGUUUGCUGUGGUUAUUUUUCUAUAUGUGUUAACAUCUAAAAAAAAAAAAAAAAAAGAAGAAGUGCUGAACACCAAAAUUGUAUUUUGAAUAAAGAAUGUGAAGCAGUUUGGUACUUUAAAAAC